AGUAAAUCUGUCAAAUCAAGAAAACAAAACAGCACAUACCGCGCUAUUUUCUAUGAAAACGUCAACAGCUGAGCAAGAGAAUCAGGAUUGUUUUUCUACCGUCCCUGGCAAUAAUUAGAAAUUAGCUACGGUCCGAGUGCAAGGCCACAGCACGGCACAGUGAAAAUUGUCAAAAAGUUCCUUCUUUAUUUCUGCGUCAUCUGACUGUGCUCCUGGUCCUGCAUUGUCGGAGCGAAUGUGUGCCAAUAAGACUGCAAUUGUGCCAUCGCGUGAAAUCACUUGUCCAGUAGUUGACCGAACUGAAGUAUCAAGCACAAGUAUUUCGACCAUGGAAACCUUAUGUCGCGGCUGUGUUCAAGUAAGGACCCAUACAAUCUGCGUUUCUAUUAAAACCAUUUUCCGGAAGUUUUGAUAAGGUGCAGAACUGCAGCGUCAAAGAUGGACUACCAACGAGGAAACCAGUUUUUUCGUGGCUUCUCACCAAGGUUUGCAACAAGUCUGCUAGCCCAGAAAUUAAGCGACUAUUGCUACGCAGUAGAGAAAUUAUGCGUAUGCCACAGAAGUGUGUGCUAUAUUUUACUAUUGCAUGUGUGUUUUUCAACA